UCCUGCAAGUGCUGCUGAUCUCCUCACCAUGCAGUGGGCUCCCCUCCUUGUCCUGCUGGGGACGUGGUGCACAGGUGCCAACUCACAGCCUGCGCUCACUCAGCCGCCCGCAGAGUCAGUGUCCCCAGGAAACACUGUGAAACUCUCCUGCACCAUGAGCAGUGGGACCAGCAUCAGUGACUAUGCUGUGUACUGGUACCAGCAGAAACCUGGGACCCCCACUCGGUACCUGCUGUAUUACAAGUCGGAUUCUGACAAGCACCAGGGCUCCGGGGUCCCCGCUCGCUUCUCUGGCUCCAAAGACACGUCCAGUAACACCGGCUACUUGACCAUCGCCGGGGGCCCCCAAGAGGACGAGGCUGACUAUUACUGUACUGUGUGGCACAGUGAUGCGUAUGUCUUCGGCGGCGGAACCCAGCUGACCGUCCUCGGACAGCCAAAGGCCUCUCCUACCGUCCACCUCUUCCCUCCAUCCUCGGAAGAGAUCAGCAGCAAGAGCAAGGCCACGCUGGUGUGUCUGAUAGACGGCUUUUACCCCGGCUCGGUCCUGGUCACCUGGAAAGCUGAUGGCACCCCCAUCACCAGUGGAGUGGAGACCACCAAGCCGUCCAAACAGAGCGACAACAAGUACAUGGCCAGCAGCUACCUGUCGCUGAGCGCCUCCGCCUGGAAGAGCCACGAGACCUACACCUGUCAGGUGACGCACGACGGGAAGAGCAUCGAGAAGACCCUGAAGAGAUCGGAGUGCUCUUAACCUGCAGCCCCCAGAGGGCUUGCCCAGAUCCUGUCCCAGUCAGUAGAGAGCUGGGAUCCCUGAGGAGUUGGGAUCCUUCUGUAGUAUCUCCCUAAUGCUGGUUUCCAGCAACUCCAAUUUCUACUUUGUGUGGAGAUUUUAGCCAGUCCCUUUGACACCCACCUUUCGUUCCAUGUAUCCAUCUCCCGCCCUCCCUUCUCUGCAUUCCCUGCACAUGUUGUUCCUGCUUUAGUCUCUGAUGCAGCCUUGAUACAAAAUUAAUAAAACCAGAAAUAUUCAACUCUCACUGUGUCUGUAGAAACUUCUCUGCCUCUUGCAAAUGUUUAGAAGAAUUGUUUAAUUUUCCAUGGUCCUGCAAUAAAAGAUGGACACUGAUCAGUAAAA